UUGAUCAUUUCUAAAGAAGGGACAUUU
rnacentral:piRNA from 1 species